rnacentral:rRNA from 1 species
GAUCCUGGCUCAGGAUGAACGCUAGCGGCGCGCUUAAUGCAUGCAAGUCGAGCGAUGAGGCCCUCUUCGGGGGGUACAUCAGCGGCAGACGGGUGAGUAACACGUAGGUGAUCUACCCCAGAGACGGGGAUAACGGGUGGAAACAUCCGCUAAUACCGGAUAGGCUUGUUCGGUCAAAGGGACAAGGAAAGGCUCCGGCGCUCUGGGAGGAGCCUGCGGCCCAUCAGCUAGUUGGCGGGGUAACGGCCCACCAAGGCAGAGACGGGUAGGGGGUGUGAGAGCAUGGCCCCCCACAAUGGGACUGGAACACGGCCCAUACUCCUACGGGAGGCAGCAGCAGGGAAUAUUGCACAAUGGACGGAAGUCUGAUGCAGCGACGCCGCGUGGAUGAAGAAGGCCCUCGGGUUGUAAAAUCCUUUACAGGGGGAGGAGGAAGGACGGUACCCCUGGAACAAGUGUCGGCUAACUACGUGCCAGCAGCCGCGGUAAGACGUAGGACACAAGCGUUAUCCGGAUUUACUGGGCGUAAAGCGUCUGCAGGCGGACAGGUAAGUUGGGCGUGAAAGCUCCGGGCCCAACCCGGAGAGGUCGUUCAAUACUGCGUGUCUAGAGGGUGUCAGAGGGGAGUGGAAUUUCCGGAGUAGCGGUAAAAUGCGCAGAGAUCGGAAAGAACACCAAUGGCGAAGGCAGCUCCCUGGGGCAACCCUGACGCUAAGAGACGAAAGCUAGGGGAGCGAACAGGAUUAGAGACCCUGGUAGUCCUAGCCCUAAACGAUGGAUGCUGGAUGUGGGGCCAUAGCGCUCCGUGUCGAAGCGAACGCGUUAAGCAUCCCGCCUGGGGACUACGGCCGCAAGGUUAAAACUCGAACGAAUUGCCGGGACCCCGCACAAGCAGCGGAGCGUGUGGUU